rnacentral:lncRNA from 1 species
UUCCCGCCAAGCAGGGAGCCCAAUGCCGGCCUUAAUCCUAGGACCUUGGGAUCAUGACCCAAGCCGAAGGUAAAACAGUCUGAUGAUAACGACCGCAUUGCAGCAGAAACUUCAGAAUUAUUUAACCUGCUUGAAAAUAUC